UACGUAGGGUGCGAGCGUUAAUCGGAAUUACUGGGCGUAAAGGGUGCGCAGGCGGCUCCGCAUGUCGGGCGUGAAAGCCCCGGGCUUAACCCGGGAAUGGCGUCCGAAACUAUGGAGCUGGAGUGUGGCAGAGGGAGGUGGAAUUCCACGUGUAGCGGUGAAAUGCGUAGAGAUGUGGAGGAACACCGAUGGCGAAGGCAGCCUCCUGGGCCAACACUGACGCUCAGUGCACGGAAAGCGUGGGGAGCAAACAGG
rnacentral:rRNA from 1 species